GCUGGACAAAGCCUUACUCAAGGCAGAGGUAGAUCGAACUGAACGGAUCAAACUUUUGUUGAACAAAAAUAAUAAGAUCCUGGAUGACAUUUCCUAUUUCCUACCCUCUGAUGUCCACAGGUUCAUUCGCAAGGAAGCCAUGAUGAUCAACCAAGCCCUGCUGGCCAAUCGGAGGGCAAUAGCCAAGCUCUUUGUCAACCUGAUGGAGGCAGACCUG